AACGAACGCUGGCGGCAUGCCUAACACAUGCAAGUCGAACGAAGCCUUCGGGCUUAGUGGCGCACGGGUGCGUAACACGUGGGAAUCUGCCCUUCGGUUCGGAAUAACAGUUAGAAAUGACUGCUAAUACCGGAUGAUGACGUAAGUCCAAAGAUUUAUCGCCGAAGGAUGAGCCCGCGUAGGAUUAGGUAGUUGGUAGGGUAAUGGCCUACCAAGCCGACGAUCCUUAGCUGGUCUGAGAGGAUGAUCAGCCACACUGGGACUGAGACACGGCCCAGACUCCUACGGGAGGCAGCAGUGGGGAAUAUUGGACAAUGGGCGAAAGCCUGAUCCAGCAAUGCCGCGUGAGUGAUGAAGGCCUUAGGGUUGUAAAGCUCUUUUACCAGGGAUGAUAAUGACAGUACCUGGAGAAUAAGACUCCGGCUAACUCCGUGCCAGCAGCCGCGGUAAU
rnacentral:rRNA from 1 species